UAAGUUAUAAAAUAAUAAUAUAUAGUUUGUCAGUAACAUUAGGAUUAUUAGAUAUUUUAUUUAAACUAACUAAAUUGAUACUGAAUUACUAAUUUAUAUUAGUAACAAUACAGAGUUUCAGACACUUUCUCUGAUUGAUAUAGUUGACGUUUCUGAACAUGUGUAUGAGUAAUAUUACGUGAACAUGUACUAUGCAACACACUAUGGUUGUGACUUUGUUGAAUUGAAUGUGUGUUACGUAAAGUAAAGAUAAAAGGAAGGGAAAUAGCACAAAAAAUCUGAUACCAUAAAGAGAAUUCUACUUGUAAUUGUGGGAUCUGUAUACACAAGUACUUUUAUUUAUGAAGUAGAGAUACAAUACUAUGGAAAAAUUGAAUACUUAAUAAUCUGAUACCAUAUGGAGAAUACUGCUUGUAAUUGUGGGAUCUAUAUACACAACAAGUACUUUUAUUUAUGAAGUAGAGAUACAAUACUAUGGAAAAAAUUGAAUACUUAAUAAUGUAAAAUAAGAGUGCAUAAUUGAUCAGGUUAGAAAUACAUCAGUGUGUUUUAUUGUAUAUUUAUUUUAAUGUUAAUGUGGUAAUAUUUGUUUUACAUUCUCUCAGGAGUUAGUGUUUUCUCCAUCUCCUCGUGGAAAGAGGAAAGUAGUAAUUUCUACUAAUAUAGCAGAAAUAUCACUUACAUUAGAGGGAAUUGUCUAUGUUGAUGACAGUGUGUUUUCUAAACGGCGGUUCUACAAUCCGUUGAUCAUUGUUAUUUCUAUUGAAGAGAUGUAAUGAACCUUGUAAUGAUUAUUUUU